rnacentral:piRNA from 1 species
UACUCAUAGUCCAAAGUUUCCCUCAUAAAGA